rnacentral:rRNA from 1 species
CCUACGGGUGGCAGCAGUGGGGAAUAUUGCACAAUGGGGGAAACCCUGAUGCAGCGACGCCGCGUGAGCGAUGAAGUAUUUCGGUAUGUAAAGCUCUAUCAGCAGGGAAGAAAAUGACGGUACCUGACUAAGAAGCCCCGGCUAACUACUUGCCAGCAGCCGCGGUAAUACGGAGGGGGCAAGCGUUAUCCGGAUGUACUGGGUGUAAAGGGAGCGUAGACGGUCCUGCAAGCCAGAUGUGAAAGCCCGGGGCUCAACCCCGGGACUGCAUUUGGAACUGUAAGGCUAGAGUGUCGGAGAGGUAGGCGGAAUUCCUAGUGUAGCGGUGAAAUGCGUAGAUAGUAGGAGGAACACCAGUGGCGAAGGCGGCUUGCUGGACGAUGACUGACGUUGAGGCUCGAAAGCGUGGGGAGCAAACAGGAUUAGAUACCCCGGUAGUC